AUUGAACGCUGGCGGCAUGCCUUACACAUGCAAGUCGAACGGCAGCACGGGAGCAAUCCUGGUGGCGAGUGGCGAACGGGUGAGUAAUAUAUCGGAACGUGCCCAGUCGUGGGGGAUAACGUAGCGAAAGCUACGCUAAUACCGCAUACGAUCUACGGAUGAAAGCGGGGGAUCGCAAGACCUCGCGCGAUUGGAGCGGCCGAUAUCAGAUUAGCUAGUUGGUGAGGUAAAGGCUCACCAAGGCGACGAUCUGUAGCUGGUCUGAGAGGACGACCAGCCACACUGGAACUGAGACACGGUCCAGACUCCUACGGGAGGCAGCAGUGGGGAAUUUUGGACAAUGGGCGCAAGCCUGAUCCAGCAAUGCCGCGUGCAGGAUGAAGGCCUUCGGGUUGUAAACUGCUUUUGUACGGAACGAAACGGCUCCUUCUAAUACAAGGGGCUAAUGACGGUACCGUAAGAAUAAGCACCGGCUAACUACGUGCCAGCCGCCGCGGUAACAC
rnacentral:rRNA from 1 species